CCUACGGGGGGCUGCAGUGAGGAAUAUUGGACAAUGGACGGAAGUCUGAACCAGCCAUGCCGCGUGCAUGAAGACGGCUCUAUGAGUUGUAAACUGCUUUUGUACAAGGGUAAACCUGAAUACGUGUAUUCAGCUGAAAGUACUGUACGCAUAAGGAUCGGCUCACUCCGUGCCAGCAGCCGCGGUAAUACGGAGGAUCCAAGCGUUAUCCGGAUUUAUUGGGUUUAACGGGUACGUAGGCGGAUUGAUAAGUUAGAGGUGAAUUGUCCGAGCUUAACUCGGGAACUGCCUCUAAUACUGUUGAGCUAGAGAGUAGAUGAGGUAGGCAGAAUGUAAGGUGUAGCGGUGAAAUGCGUAGAGAUCAGACAGAACACCGAUGGCGAAGGCAGCUCACCAAUCGAUAACUGACGUUGAGGCACGAAAGCGUGGGGAGCAAACAGGAUUAGAUACCCCUGUAGUC
rnacentral:rRNA from 1 species